AAGGGCGGGUUCUGAAGUAGAAACUAAACAGAAAGAUAGGAGAGAGGUAAAUUGGUGAACGAUCUCUACUUUACUCUACUUUUGUGUAUGUUUUAACCGUCUAUACGGUAGUGAUAAUUAGUAUAACAGGUCAGGGUAUUUUUUUUUUAGCAUAUAUAUGGCAUGUUUUGUGCUCAGAGGUCUUCGUUAAGCUCGCUAUCUGCAGUCUGUUAGCUAACGUAAUGUUACGUUAUAGCUACAGACAGAAGUCUGGAUAACUUGGUGAAGCCAGUCGGGUGUGGAUAGAUAAACUGUUUUAAUUUAACUAGACACACAGACGGCAACCAAGUAACGUUAGCAAACUGUGAGAUGGAGCAAUAACAGCAUGACGAGGGAAUAGAUGCGGAGACGAAGUCCUCGUCCAUCUGCAGGAAUCACAAAGAGAUAAAGGAAUAACGUUAUCUGAAAUAAAGCCCUGCUUUUUAAACCUCUCAGACGAGUAACCUGAGCUAAACCAGAUGAAAAUGACUUGUAAUUCUCUCUAACCGAAAGCGAUCUCUCCUCCUGGCCGACAGAUGUCGCUGUUGUAACGUCACAGCCACUCCCGUUUAUGAGCCAAUCAGAUCAUGACUAAGGACCCGUCGUCAUGCAGCAGCAGCAGCAGCCAAUGAAAGGGCAGGAGAGCGGGUCCGGGGGGCGGGGCUGAGAGAGAUGUCCCUGCCUUCUCAUCUCCCUCCCAGUCUCUUCCUAUCUUCCUGUUUCCAUCUGAACUGGUUUUCUACUCUGACCAGAGGAGUUCCUGACUCUCUACAACCCCUUCACCAUCAGAUUCAAGCGUCAGAACCGAACCUACCUCUGAGCUCUGACCCCUGAGUCUUGUGUACAGCACCGUCUCUGUAUUCAGUGGUGGAGGGCAGCCUGAGAGCCAAGUCCUGCAUUGACCUAGUGGUGCGUCACCGAGACGUGUCCCCCCGCCACUGGGGAAGGAGAGAUCGGUUCCGCUUGGAGGUGUCGGGCGGAGGGCUGGAGGCGAAUCGGGAGGUUUGGGCCGAGCUCAGGGGAGGACAGGCCACUGCCCAGAACAGAUCCACUGGCCCCCCGAGACUCCUCCCACCCUCUCUCGCCCCUCUACCUUACUUCACAUUGCCCCAGAAAGUUCGGAGACUGUCCCAGUCUGCAGUGUCGGUGGUGAUGGGUGUGGUGUGUGUUGCUUUCUUAAUGCUCCCCCUCCACUCUGAGCCCAACAACUUGGUUCCUAGCUAUGCCCAUGUGACUGUCACACAGAAAUUGGUGUGCGCCUACGCACUGUGU